GACGAACGCUGGCGGCGUGCUUAGCACAUGCAAGUCGAACGGGCCCGCUCUCUUUUUUGGGGGUGGGUUGAGUGGCGAACGGGUGAGUAUCACGUGAGUAACCUGCCCCCUGCUCCUGGAUAACUGCUUGAAAGGGCGGCUAAUACGGGGUGUGCCGGCUGGUCCGCAUGGGCCUGGUCGGGAUAGUUUCAUCUUCGGGUGUUUCGGUGGGGGAUGGGCUCGCGGCCUAUCAGCUUGUUGGUGGGGUGAUGGCCCACCAAGGCGGUGACGGGUAGCCGGCCUGGGAGGGUGGGCGGCCACACUGGGACUGAGACACGGCCCAGACUCCGGCGGGAGGCAGCAGUGGGGGGUAUUGCACAAUGGGCGGAAGCCUGAUGCAGCGACGUCGCGUGAGGGAUGGAGGCCGUCGGGUUGUGAACCUCUUUCUCCGGUGGUGAAGGCCCUGUCCGUUGCGGCGGGGUUGACGGUAGCCGGGUAUGAAGCGCCGGCUAACUACGUG
rnacentral:rRNA from 1 species